rnacentral:lncRNA from 1 species
UUUGAUAAUCAUGAAAAUAAUAAAUAAUACAUAAUCAACGCUAUAAGAAAAACACCUGAUAGUCAACAAAUCCAUAAUCUAUCAUCUUCUGCACCACCAUAUCUCGAAAAACUCAUGUUAUGCACCACCAUAUCUCGAAAAGCAUGUCAAAAUAAGAAAUGAUCAAAUAAACUUCUACGCUCCACGUCUUGCUCGAUCCUACUUGUCUCAAUUGGGAAACCUGCAUUAAAUUUUUGAAAGACGGUAAUAAACUUCUGAAUCACUAAAUCCAAUACUAAGAACAUGCAUUUUUUCUUCUUUUUCCCUUUCAUUCUCUCUCUAAAUUUUUAAUUUUUAUUUUGUUUUCGAUGAGUGUGUUGUGGAUGGUACUCAUGAUAUGA